rnacentral:rRNA from 1 species
CCUACGGGUGGCAGCAGUGGGGAAUAUUGGACAAUGGGCGAAAGCCUGAUCCAGCCAUGCCGCGUGUGUGAAGAAGGCCUUCGGGUUGGAAAGCACUUUCAGUGGGGAAGAAAGCCUUGGGGCUAAUACCCUCGAGGAAGGACAUCACCCACAGAAGAAGCACCGGCUAACUCCGUGCCAGCAGCCGCGGUAAUACGGAGGGUGCGAGCGUUAAUCGGAAUUACUGGGCGUAAAGCGCGCGUAGGCGGUCUGAUAAGCCGGUUGUGAAAGCCCCGGGCUCAACCUGGGAACGGCAUCCGGAACUGUCAGGCUAGAGUGCAGGAGAGGAAGGUAGAAUUCCCGGUGUAGCGGUGAAAUGCGUAGAGAUCGGGAGGAAUACCAGUGGCGAAGGCGGCCUUCUGGACUGACACUGACGCUGAGGUGCGAAAGCGUGGGUAGCAAACAGGAUUAGAUACCCGGGUAGUC